rnacentral:misc_RNA from 1 species
GAAAUGCGAUAAGUAAUUUGAAUUGCAGAAUUCCGUGAAUCAUCGAAUCUUUUAACUCACAUUGCGCCCUCUGGCAUUCCGGGGGGCAUGCCUGUCCGAGCGUCAUUACGCACCCUCAAGCCCGGCUUGUGUGAUGGGCCCCGGCGUCUCGUUCGCGAGACGGGCCCGAAAGGCAGCGGCGGCGUCGACCCGAUGAGCCCGAGCGUAUGGGGACUUCUGUCACACGUUCGCGGUGCGGACCGGCGCCUGCUUGACUUUUCUGAUUAUCCAGGUUGACCUCGGAUCAGGUAGGGAUACCCGCUGAACUUAAGC